CAAAGAGGUUCUGAUUAGUCGGCAGUCAAGGUCGGCAAUCGCUGUUGGGCCGCAAGCUGUUUGAACUCACCUUACAAUAUUGAGGUUGGGGAAUACAUUCUCAUAAACUUGGUCUCAAGGCCAGCUAGCACAGAAGUGAAUUAGUCCAGAAGUGGAAUGGAACACAUCACCAUAAUCAGAAGAUUUGGACCACAGAACAACUGGGUCUUCGUUGUCACUU